GAUGAAGAACGUAGCGAAAUGCGAUACGUAAUGUGAAUUGCAAAUUCAGUGAAUCGUCGAGUCUUUGAACGCACAUUGCGCCCCCUGGUAUUCCGGGGGGCAUGCCUGUCCGAGCGUCAUUGCUGCCCUCAAGCACGGCUUGUGUGUUGGGCCCCGUCCUCCGAUCCCGGGGGACGGGCCCGAAAGGCAGCGGCGGCACCGCGUCCGGUCCUCGAGCGUAUGGGGCUUUGUCACCCGCUCUGUAGGCCCGGCCGGCGCUUGCCGAUCAACCCAAAUUUUUAUCCAGGUUGACCUCGGAUCAGGUAGGGAUACCCGCUGAACUUAAGCAUAUCAAUAAGCGGAGGA
rnacentral:misc_RNA from 1 species